rnacentral:rRNA from 1 species
GAUGAACGCUGGCGGCGUGCUUAACACAUGCAAGUCGAACGGAAAGGCCCAAGCUUGCUUGGGUACUCGAGUGGCGAACGGGUGAGUAACACGUGGGUGAUCUGCCCUGCACUUCGGGAUAAGCCUGGGAAACUGGGUCUAAUACUGGAUAGGACCUCUUCUUGGAUGUUGUGGUGGAAAGUUUUUUCGGUGUGGGGUGAGCUCGCGGCCUAUCAGCUUGUUGGGGGGGUAAUGGGCUACCAAGGCGUCGCCGGGUAGCCGGCCUGAGGGGGUGUACGGCCGCAUUGAGACUGAGAGACGGCCCAGACGCCUACGGGAGGCAGAAGGGGGGAAUAUUGAACCAUGGGCGCAAGCCUGAUGCAGAGAGGCCGCGUGGGGGAUGACGGCCUUCGGGUUGAAAACGCGUUUCGCUAGGGACGAAGCGUUUUGUGACGGUACCUGGAGAAGAAGCACCGGCUAACUACGUG